rnacentral:misc_RNA from 1 species
CCGUCGUUUUCUCUCAUUUUUUAUAAUCUUAUCAUAUUCUGGACUCAAACCAGGAAGGCACCCUGUUCUCACCCAUACAUCCUUUUCCAUCCGUAGAUGAAGAGCAAGGUAGGGUCCUUUGCUCCGNNNNNCCUCUCUGCAAGCCUGUUACCAAGCUCCAAAAUUGAUGGGGCAAAUCUCAACGCAUUAAAUGCCACCUUGCAGCGAAGUUUCUGAAGAUCAGAAGGGAGAUCUUUAG